GGCGGGAGAGUGGGAGGGCGCCCAGAAGCUCUCCGGCUGUUUCUGGGGCGUUCCCCCUCACACACAGAGCCCGUACAGGAGUCUGUUAAAGCGAUUUCUCGGGCCGGCUGCUAUUUUGUUGGUACUUGUUUACGUGUUGACGAAGCGAAAAAGAGUCAGUGAAAAGAAAACUGGACCACAGAAAUCGAAAGAAAACAUUCAAGGGAUCCACAGCUUUCCCAGCAUGGUGCAGAACAGUAUUCAAGAUGCAAGGCAUCUACAGUUCUGACCUGCCUGCAAGGAUCUCUGUCAGUUUUAAGCCAACUCUACAUCUUGGGUUUUCCUUGGCUGGGAUUUGUGGGCAUGGGCACUUUGACCUGCUGGAAAGAAUAUAAAGCUCAUAUAGACAUCCUCAGUGGUGAAACUCUUCAUAUGAAUCAGAACUCCAGAAAGGU